CUGGAUGUAGAUUAAUGGUCGGUUGAGAUCCAGUCUCCAUUAGGUGAGAGAUGACAGAAUCUGGCUUGCUAGUCAUUAUCCUUUGUCUGUUUGUUUAUUUUUAGUUCAAAUCAAAUAAGACUUUUUUGCCUACCAGGAAGGGGAACAGCUCCUUGAUAGUCAGACUGAGUUAUGCGAGAAUUCCUGGUGGAGGUGGGCAACUCUCUUCCCUGCAGAUAUUCAAGGAUUCAGGCAGAUAGAAUCUCGUUCAUCAUCAACAUGUUGCCUGCAAGGAUCUUAUGGUUUCUCCAUCUCAUCCAGCCAGAAGCAAAUAAAAGCACAGGCAAGCCCACAGAGGAGGAUUUUAUGGGCCAAACCUGGGAGUGACUCAUCACAUCCCUCCCCAUAAUCCAUUGACUAGAAUGUAAUUAUUUGGCCAUACCUAACUUCAAGAGCAGCUGGGAAAUGUGAGCUUGCUGCGUGCCCAGGAAGAAUAAGGAAAAAGGACUUUGGUGGGCAACUAUCAGUUUCUCACUUCUCUUGGUGCUAAAGAGCUUUGUAGUAGGAAGAUUUGCCCAGACUAUUUGUUGCACAGCCAAUCCUCAGACCAUCUUGAAGCAUGUAGAAAAGGACUAAGGAUUGGAAAUUGAGUUAAAAGCCUUAAUGGUGAAGCAAGGAAUGAAAGAGGAAAAAUCAUAGCAACUUGGUGAACUUGAAAAUGUACCUAGGUCACACCCCUUCUUUACUUCAAGCAGAAACUAAACCCAAAUGGAAAAUAUUUUGACUGAGCUGCAGCUUGGCAUUUUUAUGCCACUAUUUACCUCUAGAAGAAGCAUGGAAAACUUCUCUAGCUUUUACAGUACACUUUCUAAAUACCAUUUCCCACUGGAGAAAUGGCUGAUUCUGGGUCAGGAGAAAAUGUACUAGGCAAAUGAGAAUAUCUUGUCAUUCCAGAUAACAAAAAAGACGUAAAAGACUGCAAUGCCAAAAGGACUCAGGAGCCAAAAGAACUGAGAAUAUGCCCAUGGGUCAAAAAUGGAACAAGUGCACCAUUAAAUUGAAAACAAGUGCAAUAGAUUAAAAUACAUCACAUGUUCAAAUCUUUGAGUUCAAAAUGAUACAAAAGCAACAUACAAACAAACAUAUAAACAGCAAUAACAACAACAGCCUCAAUGUUCAUCUUUGGACAUUGAUAGGAAGCAAAUUAUUUGGAAAAUAGUAAAAAAAAAAAUUAGAGUAUCUGUCCUGUAUUUCAUCUAUAAAAUAUUCAUUGAGGUAACCAAAUAGUUAAUAGUAAAGGAAAAUUUGUCUAUUUGUCUUCAUGGAAGUAUUUUAAUUUCUAGAAUAAAUGAAGAAGGAAUGAUAAAAUUAGAACAUUACCAUUUGGUGGUCCCUAAUGAGACAAUGGGUCCAGGCAAAAAAUCUUCAAUGGCUGUUGAGAUCACAAAAAGAAAGACCCCAGAUUUUAAGUGCCAGCUAUUAGAAAAAUACGAUUUUUCCUGAGAAGUAAGUUUGACAAAAAAAAAAAUUUAUAUUGAAUUCGAAUCAAGCCUCUAGAAAUAACAACCAAUCUACUAGAAUUACAGAGAUCAGAGAAACGUGUUCAAAGACACCGUGGGCAUAUAAACUACAAAAUCCAAAUUGUAGAAAACAUCAUAGGACAGACAAUAUGAUUUCUUCCACAAAUACACUGCAUGAUAAAAAAAGAGAGGAGUUUUAAGAGACUUAAAGAGCAAUCAAAUGCAAUAUUUGGAUGUUUCAUGGAUCCUCAUUUGAACAAAUGGUUAUUUAUUUUUAUGCUGUGUUUAUGAGAUAAUUGGGGAAAUGUGACCACUGACUGGAUAUUGGAUGAUAUUAAAAAUUAUUGUUAACUUUGAAUGCAAUAAUGGGAUGUAUGUGUGUGUUUAAUGAGUCCUUAUAUUUUACAGUUACAUGCUGAAUUAUUUAUGGAUGGAAUUACAUGUGCUUGGGAUUUGCUUCAAAAUAAUUGGGGAGUAGAAAAGAAUAAGAGUACUAUAUAGAUAAAAGAUUGGGCAUGAAUUUAAAAUGAAAGAAAAAUAAAAGAAAGGAAAAGAAAUAACAGAGAGGUUAAGAGGGUAGGCUCAGAGCCAAACUGCCUGGGAUCAAAUCUUCUUUCUGUCAUGACUAGCUGUGUGAUCCCAGAACAAGGAGUACAGAAAAUUAUC
rnacentral:lncRNA from 10 species